rnacentral:rRNA from 1 species
GAUGAACGCUGGCGGCGUGCUUAACACAUGCAAGUCGAACGAUGAAGCCCAGCUUGCUGGGUGGAUUAGUGGCGAACGGGUGAGUAACACGUGAGUAACCUGCCCUUAACUCUGGGAUAAGCCUGGGAAACUGGGUCUAAUACCGGAUAGGAGCGUCCACCGCAUGGUGGGUGUUGGAAAGAUUUAUCGGUUUUGGAUGGACUCGCGGCCUAUCAGCUUGUUGGUGAGGUAAUGGCUCACCAAGGCGACGACGGGUAGCCGGCCUGAGAGGGUGACCGGCCACACUGGGACUGAGAAACGGCCCAGACUCCUACGGGAGGCAGCAGUGGGGAAUAUUGCACAAUGGGCGAAAGCCUGAUGCAGCGACGCCGCGUGAGGGAUGACGGCCUUCGGGUUGUAACCCUCUUUCAGUAGGGAAGAAGCGAAAGUGACGGUACCUGCAGAAGAAGCACCGGCUAACUACGUG